CCUACGGGGGGCAGCAGUGGGGAAUAUUGGACAAUGGGGGCAACCCUGAUCCAGCCAUGCCGCGUGUGUGAAGAAGGCCCUCGGGUUGUAAAGCACUUUCAGUGAGGAAGAACGCCUGGUGGUUAAUACCCAUCAGGAAAGACAUCACUCACAGAAGAAGCACCGGCUAACUCCGUGCCAGCAGCCGCGGUAAUACGGAGGGUGCGAGCGUUAAUCGGAAUUACUGGGCGUAAAGCGCGCGUAGGUGGCUUGAUAAGCCGGUUGUGAAAGCCCCGGGCUCAACCUGGGAACGGCAUCCGGAACUGUCAAGCUAGAGUGCAGGAGAGGAAGGUAGAAUUCCCGGUGUAGCGGUGAAAUGCGUAGAGAUCGGGAGGAAUACCAGUGGCGAAGGCGGCCUUCUGGACUGACACUGACACUGAGGUGCGAAAGUGUGGGUAGCAAACAGGAUUAGAUACUCCUGUAGUC
rnacentral:rRNA from 1 species